rnacentral:ncRNA from 1 species
UAAAGUAAGAAUUUAAUUUUGGUUCCGACUGAACGUUAUUCAGUAGUUUUAAGACAUGCAAAUCUAUUGUUUCAGAAAGUAAAUUUAAUAAAAUAAAUUGAUGAUAUGAAAUAAGGUGUAAAGGUGAGUAUGGUAAAUAAGAUACCCUGUAGUCUUUGCAAAUCAGAGAUAUUAAACCAUUUGAAGAAAAUAAAAUUUACUUAAAAAUUUUAUGAUUAUUCUUGUAUUAUAUUAAAAUAUAAUUGUUUUCUAAUAUUACAACAAAUAAUUAUAUAUAGACUAAAAAAGCAAUAUAUAAUUAGUGAUAUUAUAAAUAAAGGUUUAAGUUAAUAUUAGCUAUUAUACAAGAAAGGAAAUUUUCCGCUAUAGGAUUCUAUUUACUUUGAUUAUGAUAGUUGGUAGGGUAACGGCCUACCAAGUCUACGAUCAAAAGCCAAGCUUGAUAGAGCAAAUGGCCACAUUGGGCGUGAAAUACCCCAAGUAGUAAUGUACUACCAGCAGUCAAGAAUAUUAGUCAAUGCUCGCAAGAGUGAACUAGCUAACUGAAUUCAUAAAUGUGUCAUUUAUGAUAAGGUAAGAGAAAAUAAUGAUAUUAUCUUACUAUAAGUGUCGUCUAAAACUGGUGCCAGAAGACUCGGUAAGGCCAGAGACGCAAACGUUAGUCGUCAUAAUCAGGCGUAAAGAGUUUGUAGGCUGCUUUAAACAUUAUAAAUAUAAGCUAUAUUAAUUUAUGAAAAAUUAAAGCUAGAAUCUAAUGGAGGAUAACCUAAACAAUAUUAUAUUUAGUGAUAAAAUACGAAUAAAUAUGAUAGAGUACUAAAGGUGAAAGCUAUUUAUCUAUUAAAGAUUGACGCUGAGAAACGAAGGAGAGGAUCGAAAACAGGAUUAGAUACCCAAUUAUCCCUCUCAGUCAACAAUGAAUGGUAGUUGUUAAUCUAUCUAUUCUGU